rnacentral:lncRNA from 1 species
AAAAAGAAGAAAAGGAGGAACCUAAAACUGAAGCGAUGGAAGAAGAAACCAAUGCAAAAGAAGAUGUUAGGAAAGUUGCGGACGAUGAAAAUAAAGAUGAGGAGGAGGAGAAGGUGGAUGAGUUGAAAGAAGAAGAUGAAGAAGAGCAGGAAGAGAAGGCUGAAGAAGAGCCGAAAGAAGAAGAAGAUGAAGAGGAGCAUGAAGAAAAGGAUGGAGAUGAUGAAGAGAAGGAUGGGGAUGAUGAAGAGGAACAAGAAGAGAAGGCUGAAGAAAGUGAGGAGGAAAAAGGUUCAAAGAAGCGUGGGAAAGGUAAAAAAACUGAGGAGAAAGUUAAGGGGAAGACAAAGAAGUUGGAGGAGAAGAAGGAGCCAGAGCAAAGAACUCC